rnacentral:lncRNA from 1 species
GGAUGAGGAGCAUGACAUUGGAAAGGGUGCAAACUCUGUUGCAAGCAUGCUGCAUCACCAUUUGCAGCAUCAUGGUUAUGGAGAAAGUCAGGUCUGUUUGCAUAUGGAUAAUUGCAGUGGUAUGGAAUGUGGCGAAUUUUAUCUGGUCUGCACAGUACUUUAGAAUUUUCCCUUAUGGAGGCCGGACAUACAAUAUUUCAUCCGGACUGGCAUUUUGGGUUGUGGAAAGUCAAAUGGAGGAAUGCAUCUGCAGAGACUAUGGAACAGGUGGCAGCAACUGUUAGAGUCUUCCCGGAAUGGGCAUAACAUACCGCAUGUCACAUAUGAUCCCACCUGACCAGUUCAGUUUUUCGAGUGGGGGCUGUUCUGUAAAAGGUUCUUUCGUCGAAUACCAAGACUGAAAGAUUUUCAUCAUUUUCGUAUGAGCAAAGAAUUCCCUGGCACAG